rnacentral:tRNA from 1 species
AGGGGAACAGCUCAGUGGUAGAGUGUGUGCUUAGCAUGCAUGAGGUCCUGGGUUCAGUGCCCAGUACCUCAG